rnacentral:rRNA from 1 species
GACGAACGCUGGCGGCGUGCUUAACACAUGCAAGUCGAACGGAAAGGCCCUGCUUUUGUGGGGUGCUCGAGUGGCGAACGGGUGAGUAACACGUGAGUAACCUGCCCUUGACUUUGGGAUAACUUCAGGAAACUGGGGCUAAUACCGGAUAGGAGCUCCUGCUGCAUGGUGGGGGUUGGAAAGUUUCGGCGGUUGGGGAUGGACUCGCGGCUUAUCAGCUUGUUGGUGGGGUAGUGGCUUACCAAGGCUUUGACGGGUAGCCGGCCUGAGAGGGUGACCGGGCACAAUGGGACUGAGAUACGGACCAGACGCGUACGGGACGCAGCAGUGGGGAAUAUGGCACAAUGGGCGGAAGCGUGAUGCAGCAACGCCGCGUGCGGGAUGACGGCCUUCGGGUUGUAAACCGCUUUCGCCUGUGACGAAGCGUGAGUGACGGUAAUGGGUAAAGAAGCACCGGCUAACUACGUG